GGAAUUAUACGUUAUACCAGGGAUCACUGAGGUUUGUUGAGGUUAUUAAGGACAUAAAAAAAUUUGCUAUUUGAGGUAUUAUGAAAGAGAUCACUUCUCUUGUUACUUAUUAUACGUCUCUUAAACAUAUAUUUAAAAAAUGAAGAAAUCUGUGCAAUUAGUUAAGAAACACAACACUCGUCAAUUGAAGUUGCUUGAUGAAAUAACCAAUAUAGAAUAUAUAAUAGAAGUUAAUGAAGAAGAUUUCAAUCGCGCUUAUAAAGGUAUUAUUUCAAUAUUAAACAGUUAACUAUCCAGAUAAGAAAGCAUGCAAAAAUAAUUAUAUAUUGUUAUUUUUAUAUAUAGAUAUUACAUUUGCUAAUGCUUUGCUACAAAAAGCAAAACAUACCCUUUUAAUUAACGAACGUAAUUCGAGCACAAUUGAUAAUCCCAGUUCUUCGAAAAAAAA